rnacentral:rRNA from 1 species
CCUACGGGAGGCAGCAGUAGGGAAUAUUGCUCAAUGGGGGAAACCCUGAAGCAGCAACGCCGCGUGGAGGAUGAAGGUUUUCGGAUUGUAAACUCCUUUUGUUAGAGAAGAUAAUGACGGUAUCUAACGAAUAAGCACCGGCUAACUCCGUGCCAGCAGCCGCGGUAAUACGGAGGGUGCAAGCGUUACUCGGAAUCACUGGGCGUAAAGAGCGCGUAGGCGGGAUAGCAAGUCAGAUGUGAAAUCCUAUGGCUUAACCAUAGAACUGCAUUUGAAACUGUUAUUCUAGAGUAUGGGAGAGGUAGGCGGAAUUCUUGGGGUAGUGGUAAAAGCCGUAGAGCUCAAGAGGAAUACUCAUUGAGAAGGCGACGUGCGAGAACAUAACUGAAGCUGAUGCGCGAAAGCGUGGGGAGCAAACAGGAUUAGAUACCCCAGUAGUC